CCAAGCACGCACUCCCGGACAUUUGGAUCGUGAAUAAUAUUCAACUACUCAUCCCAGGAUGAGAUCAAGGCCACCGUAUCACUUAAUUGAAAGAGAGCUGGUACGGCAAAAGUGAAAAAGGACGAGUGCAAAGUAAUCCCAUUAAUUAGAGCCAAGAUUUACUAUAUCUUCCUUCUGACUUAAAAAGAAAGAACCGCAACCAAUUAAAAAGUGUAUCGGAUUAUAGUUGACUCAGCUAAGUUUGCAAUUAUCUCUGGCAGCUAGUCGUUUUAUAAAUAUAGAAGACAAGUUCCCGCUUGGAGAUUUUUACCGCAGCACCGUCCCUGUGUAAAUAAAUAGGUCAUUCGAGGAGCUCACAAUACUACGAAAAUUACUUGCCUCCGUACAGCGAUGAUCUAUUUCACGAUUUUAAGUGGAUUAUCCAGAUUUCAGCAAUUUAUGUUGCGAUACUUAAUAAUAAUGCUGUUAUUUUGAUUGCUUUAUCUGUCGUUACUUCAUCUGCAUUCGUUAUAGGCCAUAAAUGCUUUUUCAAAAAGCUCAAGAUCAAAUGGUUACUUCAACUUACCCGAUCCGUCUACCCGAUAUACCUUGCGUUAUGAUAACCAUUACUGCUCGAUAUACGCAUCGAAGAAUGGCGUUUCUUUGAAUAUUUCCAAGCACCAUACGUUGUCAUAGUGAUCACCAUCUUCUUCUUUUUCUAUCGAGUACUGCGAGUAGUAGUUCCAUAAAG